GAUGAAGAACGUAGCGAAAUGCGAUAAGUAAUGCGAAUUGCAGAAUUCCAGUGAGUCAUCGAAUCUUUGAACGCACAUUGCGCCCUUUGGUAUUCCGAAGGGCAUGCCUGUUCGAGCGUCAUUAUCACCCCUCAAGCCCUCGGCUUGGUGUUGGACGGUUUGGUGGAGGCCCCCUCGGGGGCUCCUGCCCCUCCCAAAGACAAUGACGGCGGCCUCGUUGGACCCCCGGUACACUGAGUUCUUCACGGGACACGUAUCGGACACAUGGGUUUACGGGACACGGUCUGCCUCCCCUCAGGGAGAAUCUUUCUAAGGUUGACCUCGGAUCAGGUAGGGAUACCCGCUGAACUUAAGCAUAUCAAUGAGCGGAGGA
rnacentral:misc_RNA from 1 species